rnacentral:rRNA from 1 species
UACGUAGGGGGCAAGCGUUGUCCGGAUUUAUUGGGCGUAAAGCGCUCGCAGGUGGUUCAUUGCGUCGUGCGUGAAAGACCCCGGCUCAACUGGGGAGGGUCGUGCGAAACGGGUGAACUAGAGGCCAGUAGGGGGAUGCGGAAUUCCGGGUGUAGUGGUGGAAUGCGUAGAGAUCCGGAGGAACACCAGCGGCGAAGGCGGCAUCCUGGACUGGUCCUGACACUCAGGAGCGAAAGCGUGGGUAGCAAACAGG